rnacentral:rRNA from 1 species
GGCAGCUGUCCUAUACGGAGGCUGCCCGCCAGGGCACUACGAGCAUAAGCUUAAAACCCAAAGGACUUGGCGGUGCUUGAGAUCCACCUAGAGGAGCCUGUUCUAGAACUGAUAACCCCCGUUAAACCUCACCCCCCUUUGUUUUUCCCGCCUAUAUACCGCCGUCGUCAGCUUACCCUGKGAAGGCCCAUAAGUAAGCAAAACUGGCACAGCCGAGAACGUCAGGUCGAGGUGUAGCAUAUGGGGGGGGAAGAAAUGGGCUACAUUCCCUGCUCCAGGGAAGACGAAUAGUGUGAUGAAACGCACACUGGAAGGAGGAUUUAGUAGUAAGUAGGGAAUAGAGUGCCCUGCUGAAUCUGGCCCUAAAGCGCGCACACACCG